UAUAUGUUCUGUUUCUGUCUUCCACAGUCAUAUCAUCUGGACCUCUUGCAUUCUCUCAGAUCCAGGCUUACUCUGGUUAGUGUUGGUUGAAUUUUUGAAGUUCUUGCCUAAUAAUAUCUAUUGGUGUAGAUACAUGUGUUGUAUAGAUGUAAAUCUCAAUUCCUAUAUUGAUCAUUUGGAAGAAAUUUUGGUGCAUUUGAUGCGAGAGAAUAGGAAACAGUUGACAAGAGAUAUCAGAGGUUUUUCAGCGAGGAGUGUAGGAGUGUGACAGGUCCACUUGAGUUUAGUUCCAGCGAAAAUGGUGAAAAUACGUGUUAGAUGUUGUAUCUGAUAGUGUUGGCCUUCUUCAAUGAAGGAAAGAGUUCACAACAAAGGACUAUAGUAAUGUGGCGAAGCCUCGACUCCAACAGGUUUUUUAACCUUUUUCACAGGCCACAGGAGAUGCCCUUUGAUGUGAAGACUCAUACUUCCACAAAUAUGACAUAAUUUUUUGUUCCACGAGUUAGUGAGUCUGGAGGAGCUGAAUGAAUUUUCAUGUGCGCUGUAGACAGAUCUUUUGCCAUUGUAUUAUUCAAGAAGUGAAAUUGUUGGUGUGAGCCCAAAUGCAUGUGUCCAAUCAAAUACAUGUAUUGAUAGUAUAUGGGCAAGUGUUUUUGCUUCUUGAGCGUCUCUUGCCUAUUUUUAUAUUCAUCGAAUUGAAUUAUUUUGUUAUAAGAAUAAUGAUGUACACAUUGGUUCA